CUGACAGCUAUCGGAUUGGUACUAAGCCAUGUGAGUCAUUGUAGCAAUACAAGGCAGACGGCUCAGUAACACGUAGUCAAUCUACCCUAUGGACGGGGAUAACCUCGGGAAACUGAGGAUAAAACCCGAUAGAUCAUAGUGCCUGGAACGGCUUAUGGUCCAAAUGAUUCGUCGCCGUAGGAUGGGACUGCGGCCUAUCAGCUUGUUGGUGAGGUAAUGGCCCACCAAGGCUAUUACAGGUACGGGCUCUGAGAGGAGAAGCCCGGAGAUGGGUACUGAGACACGGACCCAGGCCCUAUGGGGCGCAGCAGGCGAGAAACCUUUGCAAUGUGCGCAAGCACGACAAGGUUAAUCCGAGUGUUUCCUGCUAAAGGAAUCUUUUGUUAGUUUUAAAACCACUAUUGAAUAAGGGGUGGGCAAGUUCUGGUGUCAGCCGCCGCGGUAAAACCAGCACCUCAAGUGGUCAGGGGGAUUAUUGGGCCUAAAGCAUCCGUAGCCUGUUCUGUAAGUUUCCGGUUAAAUCCAUUAGCUCAACUAAUGGGCUGCCGAAAAUACUGCAGAACUAGGGAGUGGGAGAGGUAGACGGUACUCGGUAGGAAGGGGUAAAAUCCUUUGAUCUAUUGAUGACCACCUGUGGCGAAGGCGGUCUACCAGAACACGUUCGACGGUGAGGGAUGAAAGCUGGGGGAGCAAACCGGAUUAGAUACCCGGGUAGUCCCAGCUGUUAACGAUGCAGACUCGGUGAUGCGCUGGCUUGUGGCCAGUGCAGUGCCGCAGGGAAGCCGUUAAGUUUGCCGCCUGGGAAGUACGUACGCAAGUAUGAAACUUAAAGGAAUUGGCGGGGGAGCACCACAAGGGGUGAAGCCUGCGGUUCAAUUGGAGUCAACGCCGGA
rnacentral:rRNA from 1 species